UACCUGAGUUUGACAUGUACGUAGUAGUGACCAAGGGAACGAGCCUUCGGGCAGCGUACACAGGUGCUGCAUGGCUGUCGUCAGCUCGUGCCGUGAGGUGUUGGGUUAAGUCCCGCAACGAGCGCAACCCUCAUCGCUAGUUACAUGUGUCUAGCGAGACUGCCAGGUUAACCCUGGAGGAAGGUGGGGAUGACGUCAAGUCAGCAUGGCCUUUAUGCCCAGGGCUACACACACGCUACAAUGGUCGGUACAAUGGGAUGCCAAGCCGUGAGGCGGAGCAAAUCCUCAAAGCCGGCCUCAGUUCGAAUUGGAGGCUGCAACUCGCCUCCAUGAAGUCGGAGUUGCUAGUAACCGCAGGUCAGCUAUACUGCGGUGAAUACGUUCCCGGGGCUU
rnacentral:rRNA from 1 species